UGGGGAAUAUUGCACAAUGGAGGAAACUCUGAUGCAGCGACGCCGCGUGAGCGAAGAAGUAUUUUCGGUAUGUAAAGCUCUGUCAGCAGGGAAGAUAAUGACGGUACCUGACCAAGAAGCCCCGGCUAACUACGUGCCAGCAGCCGCGGUAAUACGUAGGGGGCAAGCGUUAUCCGGAUUUACUGGGUGUAAAGGGAGUGUAGGUGGCUGCGCAAGUCAGGAGUGAAAGCCCGGGGCUCAACCCCGGGACUGCUCUUGAAACUGCGCGGCUUGAGUGCAGGAGGGGCAGGCGGAAUUCCUAGUGUAGCGGUGAAAUGCGUAGAUAUUAGGAGGAACACCGGUGGCGAAGGCGGCCUGCUGGACUGUAACUGACACUGAGGCUCGAAA
rnacentral:rRNA from 1 species